rnacentral:rRNA from 1 species
GACGAACGCUGGCGGCGUGCUUCAUACAUGCAAGUCGAACGAGAAGCUGACUUCGGUCAGUGGAAAGUGGCGGACGGGUGAGUAAUAUGUAGGAAAUCUUCCUUUAGGAGGUUGACAACAGAGGGAAACUUCUGCUAAUACCCCAUAUGAGCGUAGCUGACAUGCUAUUCUUGAAAACUCCGGUGCCUAAAGAUGAGCCUGCAUCUGAUUAGCUAGUUGGUAGUGUAAUGGACUACCAAGGCGACGAUCAGUAGCUGGUUUGAGAGGAUGAUCAGCCACAAUGGGACGGAGACACGGCCCAGAAUCAUACGAGAGGCAGCAGUAGGGAAAUUUGCGCAAUGGGCGAAAGCGUGACGGAGCAACGCGGCGUGAACGAUUAAGCCUGGGGGAGUGUAAAGUUCUGUCAGUGGGGACGAAACUUGACGGUACCCAAAGAGGAAGCACCGGCUAACUCCGUG